AGAGAGCACUAGACGCAUUAAACACUCACCUUGCUUCCAACACCUAUCUGGUUGGACAUUCAGUCAGCCUUGCUGACAUUGUCAUGACAUGCAACCUCUAUUUGGGUUUCUCCCAGAUCAUGACUAAGAGCUUUACCUCUGAAUUCCCUCAUGUUGAGAGGUACUUCUGGACCAUGGUUAAUCAACCAAAUUUCAAGAAGAUUCUUGGUGAAGUGAAGCAAGCAGAGUCUGUGCCACCUGUUGCCUCAAAGAAGCCUGCUGCCCAGCCAAAAGAAACUAAACCAAAGGCCAAGAAUGAACCAAAGAAAGAACCCAAAAAGGAGGUUGAGAAACCAGCUAAGGCAGAGGCUGCUGAGGAGGAAGAGGCACCAAAGCCCAAACCAAAGAAUCCUCUUGAUUUGCUGCCUCCAAGUAAGAUGAUACUGGAUGAGUGGAAGAGGCUGUACUCUAAUACAAAGACCAACUUCCGUGAGGUUGCAAUUAAAG
rnacentral:lncRNA from 1 species